CAAAAUGUAGCUUAACAAAAGCCCCCCGCUUACACCGAGGAGUUAUCUGUUCGACCCAGAUUAUUUUGA
rnacentral:tRNA from 1 species